rnacentral:rRNA from 1 species
CUUGGUCAUUUAGAGGAAGUAAAAGUCGUAACAAGGUUUCCGUAGGCGAACCUGCGGAAGGAUCAUUAAUGAAGUACCUCCUCUUGGGAUUUUACUGUUGCGCUGUAUGGCUGCACGUAGACCUGGGAGGGGUUCAUCCCACAAACCCUUGUGCACCAUGAGGGGCUUAGACCUCUCCAAUAUCAUAUAAUCUAUAGCUGAUGUCUUUUGUCUUUAUUAUUAUUAAUAAUAAACAACUUUCAACAACGGAUCACUUGGCUCUCGCAUCGAUGAAGAACGCAGCGAAAUGCGAUAAGUAAUGUGAAUUGCAGAAUUCAGUGAAUCAUCGAAUCUUUGAACGCACCUUGCGCUCCUUGGCAUUCCGAGGAGCAUGCCUGUUUGAGUGUCAUGUCAAUACUCAAACCUUAUGCCUUUGUGUAUGGGUUUGGACUUGAAGGGUUUGCUGGCUUUUUGGAGCUGGCUCCUUUUAAAUGCAUUAGCUGGCUUUGCGAGCCUGUUUUUCAGUGUUGUAAUUUCUAAUACGCGCUGUGAUGAACUAGUUCGACUUGCUGCUGAUAGACAACAUUUUUCUAUGUCUCUGACCUCAAAUCAGGUAGGAUUACCCGCUGAACUUAAGCAUAUCAAUAAGCGGAGGAAAAGAAACUAACAAGGAUUCCCCUAGUAACGGCGAGUGAAGCGGGAAAAGCUCAAAUUUGAAAUCUGACGGUCUUUGGUCGUCCGAGUUGUAGUCUGGAGAAGUGCUUUCUGUGCUGGACCGUGUACAAGUCUCUUGGAACAGAGCGUCAUAGAGGGUGAGAAUCCCGUCUUUGACACGGACUACCAGUGCUAUAUGAUGCGCUCUCAAAGAGUCGAGUUGUUUGGGAAUGCAGCUCAAAAUGGGUGGUAAAUUCCAUCUAAAGCUAAAUACAGGCGAGAGACCGAUAGCGAACAAGUACCGUGAGGGAAAGAUGAAAAGCACUUUGGAAAGAGGGUAAAACAGUACGUGAAAUUGUUGAAAGGGAAACGCUUGAAGUCAGUCGUGUCUACUGGGACUCAGCCUGGCUUUUGCCUGGUGCACUUCCCUGUUGACAGGCCAACAUCAAUUUUGAUCGGCAGACAAAGGCUGAGGAAAUGUGGCAGCUCCGGGUGUGUUUAUAGUCCUUGGUUGUACAUGUCGAUUGGGAUUGAGGAAUCCGGACACGCAAGUGUUGUGGGAUGUUGGCGUAAUGGCUUUAAACGACCCGUCUUGAAACACGGACC